AAUGGAGUUUAUACAUGUUACCUGCACAUUUUUUUUUCAUAUAACAUUUCUUCAGUUUACAUUCCACAUGCAAUUAGCAAUUUUUACAACUGGAAAACAUAUGUUGAUUAUCUACACAUAUAUAUUGAAGGCAUGUGUGUAUGUAUAUAUUAUGAUUUCUCUCCUUUGAGUGCAAAAUAAAAUAAAAAGUAAUAACAGUAAAAAGCCGAUGGGCAAAAAUUGAUUCAUAAAUGAGAUGGUGGCAUUCAUCUCGACACCCUUAUUGGAAACCUAAAUCUCAGUAAAUUUGUAGCCUAAGGAUACAAUGGGCUUAAAGGAUUUCUGUCUCUGAAGAAAAAUUAGAAGGCCUUUGAGGUAAGGUAAAUGGAAAAGGUUGCUUGGGCAAACGCGAAGCUCUAGCACUGCUAAAUGUUAAGCACCAUCAGGGGGUAUCUCAGUCAUUAACAGGAGUGGCAUGAGGGAGAUUGUUUCAAACAGAAGAAAAAUUAUACAUGGCAAUGGGAAGGUGGCCCAGUGCCAUAGGGAAAUUCUGUCAAGCAAGAAAUGAUUUUUUACAAAGUUAUUGUAGGGGAAAAGUGAAGAGGGUGUGGUCAGAUUUCCCCUUUUAGGCAGGUGUUCCAGAAUAUCAAAUACCAGAACGGUUCUAAGGAAGAGGUACAUGACAAUAGUUCAGAGGGAGGAACUCAUUUAGCAUUGGUCAAGCAGAAUAGAAAGGAUGCUAAAAGAGUCAAGAGUCAAGAAAUUCUGUACUCUGUUUGGCUUUCUCCAUUUUUUUGUAAAUUCUUGGGCCAGGGGUGUUGAAUUUUAGCUUUAGGCAGGGUGCUGAUGUAGUAUCUAAGGUAUUUUACUGGCAAGUUAACUUCUAUUGUACUGUAGCUUUCUCUCCUACAAGAAAGAAUUAGAUUGUUAGUGUGCGCACUAACACACACACACACACACACACACACACACACACACACACACACACACACACACACACACAAACUAUUGUCUUUUCAGACAGCUACUUUCCAGACACAGCACUUAACCAUCCUUCUACCAGUUCUGAGAAAUACCCUGGGAUUCAGAGCUCUGAAAGAAGAUGCUGAUGUUCUCCUAGCUGGCAGUGUGUAGUGACAAGAGCAGCAACAUCAAUUUCCUGUGUACUGAGGUGGGCUUCCACUUCCAAGGCUUACAAAGCACUGACUUCGAUUUUUUUUCCCCAAGAUUUUACUUCAAGGGCUUAAAGGCUUCUCGUCAAUGAAGAGGAUAUAUAAGAAAUGUUGGACUUAACAAGAUGCUUUUCCAUGGAAUCUUUGUGCUUUUGAUUAUAUCCAAAUUGUUCUUUAUUUAUACUAUAUUUUACUUUAAACAGUUUUUUUUAAAUAAGUAGGCUAUAUUACUCUGUCCAGAAAAGAAAUGUCUUUGGAUUCAUUUUCUAUUUUCUUCUUUUUAAAUAUAAGGAAUUGUGUAGCACAGGCUAGCCUCAAACUCAUUUUCAUAAUUUCCCACUAUCCAUCUCUUAGCUGCUAUUAUUAUAGAUGUGUGAUUUAAUAAUAGAUAUGUGCCUUAAUACUCAGUUUGAAGAAUGGAUAACUUUUAUAAUUCAGUAGAUAAAAUGUAUUGCUUGAAACAUUUAGAUGGGUAAAAUCACUUGUCGCCAAACUUGAGGACAUGCCAUGAAUGUCCUACAUGGUAGAACGAAAGAAGAGAAGGGUUUUCUUUUUUCUUUUUAAAUUGGAUACUGACCUCAGGACGUGUGUGUCCAAACACACACACACACACACACACACACACACACACACACACACAC
rnacentral:lncRNA from 1 species